CCUACGGGAGGCAGCAGUCGAGAAUCAUUCACAAUGGGGGAAACCCUGAUGGUGCGACGCCGCGUGAAGGAAGAAGUAUUUCGGUAUGUAAACUUCUAUCAGCAGGGAAGAAAAUGACGGUACCUGACUAAGAAGCCCCGGCUAACUACGUGCCAGCAGCCGCGGUAAUACGUAGGGGGCAAGCGUUAUCCGGAUUUACUGGGUGUAAAGGGAGCGUAGACGGCGAUGCAAGCCAGAUGUGAAAGCCCGGGGCUCAACCCCGGGACUGCAUUUGGAACUGUGUGGCUGGAGUGUCGGAGAGGCAGGCGGAAUUCCUAGUGUAGCGGUGAAAUGCGUAGAUAUUAGGAGGAACACCAGUGGCGAAGGCGGCCUGCUGGACGAUGACUGACGUUGAGGCUCGAAAGCGUGGGGAGCAAACAGGAUUAGAUACCCGUGUAGUC
rnacentral:rRNA from 1 species